UCUGUCUCAAACAACAAAACAAAACAAAAACCAACAACAACAACAACAACAACAACAACAACAAAAGAAGCUACAGUUGGAUAAUUGGAUAAUGGAAGAUAAAAUUGGAAAGACAGACUUAAGCCAGAGUAUAGAGAGUUUUGAAUGUCAGCUUGAUGAAGAUGACCUUAGGCACAGCGACCCUGAAGGCCACAUGUUAAAGAUAGUGGAGCCACAGGAUGGAAGGAAGCUGGUUCCCUGAAUCAUCACUUGGCAGAGAGCUGACCACUAAUCAGGAUCAUGUGUUUUAGAUUUCACUUGACCAAUAAAUCAAUUUCUAUUUUGUUACACUGCUAAAA